ACCCGUGCCCACGGUGCCACCUCGCUGUGCUGGAGUCAGUCCCUGUGCCAGACCCGCCGCCGGGCAGGGCAGGAGCGACAUUCCCGUUUGCCAUCGGAGCCACACGGAGCCUUUUCCCUUUUCCCUCUCGGCUGCCCAUGAGUGCAACCCAGCAACUGCUGACUGGAACGUUUCUAUUGUGGAGUUUAUGCUAAAUAUGCAUAUCUUAAUUGCAUUAGUCAAAAUAAUUAGCUAAUAUAUUUUUGCAUAAUGACGAGGACUCAGAUCUUCUCCUUUCCCUGGAUCAAGAGCCAGAGGUGCUGCUGCCCAGAUGGGAUUCCCCGGGAAUGGGGCCAGUAUCCGGACCAUGGGAUGUGGGCACCCUCGGCACGACACCUGGCUAAAAAGAAUCAGGAGCCCCGUCCUGCCACCAUCCUUUCCUUUCUACAGCCUCUUCCUGGAUAAGGAUGGAAGCAAGUGCCCAGCUGGAGUGUGCCCAGCUCCAGCCAGGCAGAGGGAGAGCAGGCAGGGCAGGAGCACUUGGGGAAAAUGGAUGGAAUGGCUGUCUGCUGCUGCCAGAUGUGUGAGCGAAAGCAGAUGUGACAGAUAAGCUGAGAACACCCGCGUCAGCUCACCCAAGGGCUGGGGGAGCAGCUUCCCGACCUGCUGGAGAGAGAGACACCGAGGGCGGCGGGGGGUCAUAAAUCAGAGGCCCCGCUCCCAGCACGGGGCACGUUCUGCCCAAAAAAGAGAAAAAAGAAAGCCGAGACAUCACCAGUGACCCGACAGAUGCCGGGAGAAGCUCCGGCCGCGGGGCUGCGGAGGAUGAUGGAUGCCGGGAGUGCGAACGGGAGAUGUGAGACACGAGCCCCGCUCCGCGAGAGGUGACAACAGCUCUCUGGCAGC